AUGUCUGCCAUUUUCAAUAUUCAGAGUCUAUUGACUGUAAUCUUGCUGCUUAUAUGUACCUGUGCUUAUAUUCGAUCCUUGGCACCCAGCCUCCUGGACAGAAAUAAAACUGGAUUGUUGGGUAUAUUUUGGAAGUGUGCCAGAAUUGGUGAACGGAAGAGUCCUUAUGUUGAAGUAUGCUGUAUAGUAAUGGCCUUCAGCAUCCUCUUCAUACAG
rnacentral:lncRNA from 1 species